rnacentral:rRNA from 1 species
UACGGAGGGAGCUAGCGUUUGUUCGGAAUUACUGGGCGUAAAGCGCACGUAGGCGGCUUUUUAAGUCAGGGGUGAAAUCCCGGGGCUCAACCCCGGAACUGCCCUUGAAACUGGAGAGCUAGAAUCUUGGAGAGGCGAGUGGAAUUCCGAGUGUAGAGGUGAAAUUCGUAGAUAUUCGGAAGAACACCAGUGGCGAAGGCGACUCGCUGGACAAGUAUUGACGCUGAGGUGCGAAAGCGAUGGGGAGCAAAGCGGG